rnacentral:rRNA from 1 species
AUACGGAGGGUGCGAGCGUUAAUCGGAAUUACAGGGCGUAAAGCGCGCGUAGGUGGUUUUGUAAGGCGGAUGUGAAAGCCCCGGGCUCAACCUGGGAAUUGCAUUCGAUACUGCUUGACUAGAGUAUGGUAGAGGGAAGUGGAAUUUCCGGUGUAGCGGUGAAAUGCGUAGAUAUCGGAAGGAACACCAGUGGCGAAGGCGACUUUCUGGGCCAAUACUGACGCUGAGGUGCGAAAGCGUGGGGAGCAAACAGGAUUAGAUACCCCGGUAGUCC